AUGGGUGCUACUAUUGACCGUUCGCUUGAUGGUACUUGCGGGCCUAAGAUCUUCAAGAUAAGUGGCCAGGUAACCCAUCAUAUAGGUUCGCUCCUGCCAAAAGGUGACGAUGACCCUAAAUUUGUUGAGAUGUAUAUACAUGACCCGUCUAACGAGAUUGAUCAUAGAAUAUGUGCUUUGAAUCCGGAGGAUAAGCCUGAUGGGGGUAUUGAUAGGAGUAUAGUUGUUGGUCUAAGAGACAUGCUUAACGAUUCCAAUCCAUUGGUUAAGACCUUUAGAGAGGCCAACAGUAUUAUAGAUAAUCCUGGUGAUGGGCCUGUUGAGGAAGUUUCGAUUCACAUAAUUGGUCCUUCGGAGGGUGACGGUCCACAAUAUAGUCUCCCUACUACUGCUGGGCUUGCUGCUUUAGUUGUUGGCGACUUUACAGGAGAGAGGUCAUCCAGGGAUAUAGUUUUUUCUAGUCGGUCGGAAGGUCUUCAGAGGAUCUCCUCCUUGAACACUGCUGUCAUGCCUUUGCAAUACCCCUUGCUUUUUCCUUACGGAGAGAGGGGGUUCCACAUAGAUGUUCCUCAUUUGAUUGUCCCUUCUCCUAGCGGUAGUAGGAAGAAUAAGAUGACUAUGCAAGAUUACUAUCGUUUUAUGUGCCAUUAUAAGGGUGAUCAGCCUAAGCCAUACUUGUGUUAUGGCCUGCUGUCUUCUCAGUCUGUUGUGGAUGCACGUGCAUGUAUCGAUGAGAACAGGCUUUGGUACAUACUGAGAAACCAAGACAUGCUUAGGGCUGAGCAUUUGCAAGGUAUCACCGAUGCCAUCAAUGAUGGAUGUGUUGAUAGUACUCUUAUUGGAAAAAGAACCAUACUGCCGGUCCCCGUUAUUACAAGGAAAUUUCCAAGACGGCCUUGCUAUAUGUCGGGUGCAUGGUGCUCCUGA
rnacentral:rRNA from 1 species